UAUCUUUUUUAAUCACCGGAGAUUCACUACUAUACUAAGUUAUUUGUGUGUAUAUAUAUAUUUUAAAGGAGAUAAGCUUCUUUAUUAAAUAGAACUCAAAGUAUAAGAGAAUUAUAUAACGAGGAAAAAUAAAGAAAUAAAAAAUGGGGUCAAGAGGCGCACGUGGACAUCUCAACUAGGUUGACAUCUCCUUAGCGCCCCAUCAUAUCCAAUAGUAUAUCAAAUAUUACAUAGAAACCCCUAUUAAGACAGAGUAAAAUCCAAAUAAGGCAAAAGCAAGGUGAAAGCUAAAGAACAACAAGGACUAAAAAGGUUCAAAACAAGACCAAAAAUAAAACACCAAUGGAGAACAGAAGAAAGUAAAAAUAGGAGGUCUUCCGCGAAAAAUUUCAACUACACUUUUUUUGUUUGACUUUAUCCACAUAACUUAGAUUGCUUUCCAUAAUAGUGGGAAUGUGCUUCAAAUGACUUUUUUGAUAUGUUUCUCCCUAGAACAUAAAUUGUCCAGCAUAUUUAGAAAGAAUCUCCAUCCCUGUUUGUUUACCCCUAAGCACACCCUUAUAUUAGAAUGCCCUCCUGAUGAAAGCCAAAAGUCACAUCUUAAUACCCAUCCACUCUGUUUUAAAUUUUGAAUCUUUCGAUCUACCUCUAUCCACUUCACCUAGCUUUUGAAAGAACUUCUCCUCUGGCCCUCUUAAUAAUUCUGGGACUGCCUUCAACAACCAUUCUAGAUGAAAUCUGGAGAUUGACAAGAUUCUACAAGCUUCCACAUCUUCAACAUGAAUCUGAUUUCCCUCAGUAUAGUAAUGAGACUCAAGGACUUUGCAGCUAACUACCUCCAUAUUUGGAUGAAAGAGCCGGCAGCCGGAAGGAAAGAGGAUAUAGGGAGGAGGGAGGAUGGAGGAGAGGGGAAAGAGAACUUACCUUCAGUAUGAUUUUUUAGGUUCCUGGCUUCGACAUUUGGUGAUUCUAAUUCGUCACGGUUUUUGUUUGAAGCAGUUUAAUAUUUUUCUAUCUCCUUGAACAGCCCUUUUAGUUUCAAGUAGGGGGAAUUUUGCCACAUGCUGAGAAUCCUGGUUCCUAGUCACUCUAAGCCAUUCAAGAUUGAAUGGGAUCGAUCUGAUUCCAUCACAUUUGGAGUAAAGUGAGGAAUAAAAUCCCAGCACCAAAACUUCAAUUUCUCGAAAGGAUUUUUUGGAGAUCAUAUUUCUAUUCUGCCAAUUUCUACAUUUAGUCAAUUGAAAAACAAAUUAAUCCUAUUCCAAUUCCUCUGUUUUAAGAGGAUUGAAAAGUAAACCAAUCUUUUUCCAAUUCCUAUUCUUAGAGAAUUGAACAGCAAGCUAAUCUUAUUCUUAAUUGAUCAAAGAAACUAAUUCUAGCUUUAAUUGGGUUAUGAUGUUUUGGUGUUAAAGGGGUGUCAACCUAGUUGAGAUGUCUAAGUGCACCUUCUGAUCCUCCCCCUCUUAUUGCUCUCUAGGCUUUAUUAUUAUGCUCAUUAUAUAACUCUCUUGUAUUUUGAGUUGUUAUUAAUAAAGAAGUUUGUCUCCAUUUCAAAAAAAAAAAAAAAAACUAAUUCUAAUCCUAUUCCACCAAGGAAACAUCUUUUUGUUUUUUGUUUUUAUUUAUUUAUUUAUUUUUGUAAAGGAAACAAAAGUUUCUUUGAUGAAAUGAAAAGAGUUUAUGCUUAUCCUAAUGGUUUAGCUUUUAGCUUAAAUUACAGAUGUAUUCCUAUUCCCAAAAGAGUUUAAUGCUUAAAGGACAUAAAUUCCAGAGGAAACUAGAAGAGACUGGCUUCAAUAAAGCAUUCAUAAAAAGCAUCUAGAGCUCCAAAGAUGUUGGUGGGACUUUUGUUGGAAGCUUUAAGGAGUUUCACGGGCAUUCUUACAAUGUGGGAUGAAGGAUUUUUCAGACUGACAUUACUAAAGCAGAUUUCUCAUUGAAAGUUAAGUGUUUGAAUAUUUGCAAAAAGCAAUGCGAAGGGUCCAAAACUUAGGAAUAUUUAGUAAUUCCUCUGGACUGGAGUAAUGCGGUGAAGGCAGUGCUGGCAGGCUAUUGUUUUUCCAGACUUAAGACAGCUCGCUUUAUUUUCUUCUCUUUGGUCCUCCCUUUCAAUGGCUUUUGCUGUUUAUUCCAGUAAAGAAAAUAACUUAAAUUGGUGUUGUUUCCUCUCCAUGGAAUUCAGACCAUGGCUAUGGACGUCUCUUUAGCCUAUUAUUAUGCUCUAUGCAAUUGUGUUCUAAGCUUGUACUUUGUUUGCUUAGUUUCUGAGUUGUUUUUGGUUGAAAGUUCUUAAAGGUUUGCUUUAUAUUGUAUUGUGUCUAAGAUCUUUAAGUUUCUUUGGAAGUGGAGAUAUUGUUAGUGCAAAGGGGGUGUCAACCUAGUUGACAUGUCUGGGCACCCCGCUGAUCCAUAGUUACUUUCAUUUCCUUUUUGUUUUUUACUUACUUUGAGCAUUAGUCUCAUUUCA